rnacentral:rRNA from 1 species
UGCGGGGGGAGGCGGAGGGGGGGACGGAGGUGCGGGAUCACGGGGCGGGAAGGGCGCGUAGGGGGGGGGGCAUGGCAGCGCUGAGAGCCGGGGGCUAGAGGCCGGGUCGGCCGUGGGGAGUUGUCGGCGCGAGCGCGGUAGGUGCGGGUGGAAGGCCGGGGGUAGCGGUGGAAGGCGUAGAGAUACGGAAGAACGCCUGUGGGGAAGGCGGCCCGCUGGGCAGGAAGAGGGAGCAAUCUCGCGGCUGACGCUGAUGCGCGACAGCGUGGGGAGCAAACAGGAUUGGAUACCCGUGUAGUC